CAUGACGAGUUGGCCAAUAGGUUUGACCACCCAAUUCCUCUACUGAAAGUUAAACUUUUAGACUAUCGAGACCGACAGAAUAAGAACAAGUCUUUGAUGUUAAUUAUUAGUCUGCAGCUAAGUAAAUUACAUAAUUGAAUGCGAAGACCAACGAAACAUCCAUUCUAUAACGACAUUAAUGAAUGUCGCUUUGAAAGAUCCAUUCUAACCGAGAGAGAGAGAGAGAGAGAGAGAGAGAACUCUCCAAAAGAACGACUCUCCAACAAGGAUCCCGACGACACACUGAGCACAGUCCCAAAGCUCCUCUCACUGAUCGUCUGAUUUGGCAACUGCUGCAGCAGUCUGUGCGAGUUGUGGAAUGCAUUGGUCCAAUCAGCCUAUCCUCUUGCCCCAACCCCUGGCCCGGAUCUGAUGUCAGCUACCCAGGAGAAGGCUGUUUAUACUCAGUGGGUGCCCAGAGUCAAGGCUUCUGGGACGGGGGCCACAGGCCACAGAGG
rnacentral:lncRNA from 1 species